rnacentral:tRNA from 1 species
UCCUUCAUGGUGCAAUUGAGAAGCAUUUCUGACUGGCAAUCGGAAGAUCCAGAGUUCGAAUCUCUGCAAAGGAA